rnacentral:rRNA from 1 species
AUACGAAGGGCCCGAGCGUUGCGCGGAAUCAUUGGGCUUAAAGGGUGCGUAGGCGGACCUGCAAGUACUUUGUGAAAGCCCACGGCUUAACCGUGGAACUGCUUGGUAGACUGCAGGUCUUGAGCUCGGCAGAGGCGGUCGGAACUCUAGGUGGAGCGGUGAAAUGCGUAGAUAUCUAGAGGAACGCCAAAGGUGAAGACAGACCGCUGGGCCGAUGCUGACGCUGAGGCACGAAAGCGUGGGUAGCGAACGGGAUUAGAAACCCCAGUAGUCC